CAUGCCAUACCCAAUGCCUUCCGAAAUAGGGGCGAGUCGCUUGAAAAGUAUGGCCGGACCCAAACCCACGUACUGUGCUAGCGAUAACUCCAUGAACAUAAGCGGCAGCCCAGCAAUCACUAGCAUCACGGUGAACGGUAUCAGAAAGGCCCCUGGAAGCAGCAGCAGUAAGCAGAGCCAAAGGUAUGGAAAUCGCCAUACAUUUCCCAAACCGACUGAGUAGCCCAGUAGGGACAGGAGGAAAUCGUACCGCCCUGUCCAGGAGCCACGUUUUGCGAGCGCCUCAUCAUUCAUCGGUUGAUCGCUGCAGAAAUCGUAUUCGGAUGCGUACGCGAGCUGUCUACGACGUUCAACGCGCUUUAACCACACGUCCACGGUGAGCUUUGUACUACAGUCCUUGGACACAGAUAAGCGACGCAACGGAGUAACAGUAUCAUUAAUUAUGUAUCCAUUGGACCGUAGUACCGUAGCACCGAUUUCAACGACACUGCAAUUUCCUCACUGAAGCUCAACUGGGAAAUGGUUCUUGGCUAUGGAAGUAAUAUCUAACCCACCGGUCAGUAGUCAACAUUGUUACCAUACGUCGCGAAGUCAUGAGAAUUUUUGCAAAUUAACUUACUGCGAAGGUCGAACAGUGCGACACGGUGCAAUGUCGGACGAUUUGCUUUACGAUCGAGGUUGAUCACACGUAAUAACUGUGUAGUGAAUAUUUAGUUUACCUUUUUAAAACUUCGAAUCAAGCCUCUGUCCAAUACUAAGUAAGACAGUAUUUAUUUUUUACUUCGUAUGUGACAAUGGCAACUUUUAAAAAUGUAAACUCAAAACUCACUAUAUAGUUAUUACGAAUCAUCAAGCUCGAUCAGUUUGAUAAAAAGCGUUUAUUGAAAUUUCCAACGACAUGAAAAGAUAAUUUAACACGAUUAAAUAUUCAGCAAACACAAUACGGCCUUUUUGGACCGUUACUUCAGAAUAAAAAAAAAUUCAGCAACAAUUUGUACGAUCAAAUAAAUUUUCACGAUAGUCUCCACUA